rnacentral:rRNA from 1 species
UACGGAGGGUGCAAGCGUUGUUCGGAUUCACUGGGUAUAAAGGGUUCGUAGGCGGCCCUGUAAGUCAGAGGUGAAAGCUGCCGGCUCAACUGGCAAACUGCCUUUGAAACUGUGGGGCUUGAGUCCGGGAGAGGAAGGCGGAAUUCCAGGUGUAGCGGUGAAAUGCGUAAAUAUCUGGAGGAACACCGGUGGCGAAGGCGGCCUUCUGGUCCGGUACUGACGCUGAGGAACGAAAGCCAGGGGAGCAAAC